GGGGAUAUAGUUUAAUUGGCAUAACUAUGAUUUUGCAUAUCGUCUAUCUAGGUUCAAGUCCUAGUAUCUCCA
rnacentral:tRNA from 1 species